CAGCAGCCGCGGUGAUACGAAGGGUGCAAGCGUUAAUCGGAAUUACUGGGCGUAAAGCGUGCGUAGGCGGUGAGUUAAGUCUGCUGUGAAAUCCCCGGGCUCAACCUGGGAAUGGCAGUGGAUACUGGCUCGCUAGAGUGUGUCAGAGGAUGGUGGAAUUCCCGGUGUAGCGGUGAAAUGCGUAGAGAUCGGGAGGAACAUCAGCGGCGAAGGCGGCCAUCUGGGACAACACUGACGCUGAGGCACGAAAGCGUGGGGAGCAAGCAGGAUUAGAUACCCGAGUAGUCCCUGUCUCUUAUAC
rnacentral:rRNA from 1 species